GAUGAACGCUAGCGGCAGGCUUAAUACAUGCAAGUCGAGGGGCAGCACGGGUAGCAAUACCUGGUGGCGACCGGCAAACGGGUGCGGAACACGUACGCAACCUACCCAAAACUGAGGAAUAGCCCGGGGAAACCCGGAUUAAUACUUCGUAACAUAUUAGAGUGGCAUCACUUUAUUAUUAUAGCUCCGGCGGUUUUGGUAUGGGCGUGCGCCUGAUUAGGUAGUUGGCAGGGUAACGGCCACCAAGCCUACGAUCAGUAACUGGUGUGAGAGCACGACCAGUCACACGGGCACUGAGACACGGGCCCGACUCCUACGGGAGGCAGCAGUAAGGAAUAUUGGUCAAUGGACGCAAGUCUGAACCAGCCAUGCCGCGUGAAGGAUGAAGGUCCUCUGGGAUUGUAAACUUCUUUUAUAUGGGACGAAACCCUGGUAUUCUUACCAGAUUGACGUACCAUAAGAAUAAGCACCGGCUAACUCCGUGCCAGCAGCAGCCGCUAGU
rnacentral:rRNA from 1 species